rnacentral:rRNA from 1 species
UACGUAGGGGGCAAGCGUUGUCCGGAUUUAUUGGGCGUAAAGCGCGUGUAGGCGGCCACACAGGUCCGCUGUGAAAACUCGAGGCUCAACCUCGAGCUGUCGGUGGAAACCGUGUGGCUAGAGUCCGGAAGAGGAGACUGGAAUUCCCGGUGUAGCGGUGGAAUGCGCAGAUAUCGGGAGGAACACCAGUGGCGAAGGCGGCCUUCUGGACCAGCACUGACACUCAAGCACGAAAGCGUGGGGAGCAAACAGG